rnacentral:lncRNA from 1 species
GGCUGACUCAGUCCAUUCAGCGUCUGACUUUGGCUCAGGUCAUGAUCUCACGGUUUGUGAAUUUGAGCCCCGCAUCAGGCUCUGUGCUGACAGCUCAGAUCCUGGAGCCUGCUUCGGAUUUUGUGUCUCCCCUUCUCUGCCCCUCCCCUGCUCAUGCUCUGUCUCUCUCUGUUUCUCAAUAAUACAUAACAGUUAAAAAAAAUUAACAAAAAAAGGUACAAACUUCCAGUUAUAAAAUAAGUCAUAGAGAUAUAAUGCACGGCAUGGGGCAUAUCGUCAACCAUAUUGUAUUAACCUUUAUGGCUGCAGAUGAUAAUUAGAUGUAUCGUGGUGACCCCUUCUCAGUGUGUACAAAUGUAGUAAACAUGAACUAAUAGGACAUUGUAGGUCAAUUUUACCUCAAUUAAAACAGAAGAGACUAUCUUUUGUAAAUCUUGUAGACCCCAGCUCCCAAAAACCUGAACUGAGGUUGAUGCUGUUUAUAUAGAAUAACCCAGUUGCAUCACAUGCUAUGACAAAUCAGCAUUCGUAAAAUGAGUUCCUAUGGAGACCUCAUUCCAGUUUCCAAAAAAGUGACUCAGACACCUGUGCGUAAGCCAUACACAAGCUCCCUGCCCCGCAGUGAACCAACAGGUACCCGAUCAAGGGAACUGCAAGGUCCUACUGUGUGUUGGGGAAGGGGGUGCGGGUGGGGCUCGGGCCUGCGAUAAGGCAGGACAGGGAUAAUAGCAUAUCUUCAGCAGUGUGUCACCGGCUGGCUGGCUUGGAUGGGGCGCUGUCAUUGUCCUCUAGAGCCCCACAUAUGCCUCCACCGAGGAGACCUGAUCAUAUCUGUUAGAGCAAUAGCCGCCUCCUGGCUGUGAGAAGGAUGUGGGAUAGAUGCUUGCCGCGGUGCCUGGCACAUAACGAGGACUCUGUGACUCUUCCCUGGCAAGACCCACUGCUUCCAGACUGCUCCGUCACUAUACUACAGCCCGCCAGACAACAGAAGGCCUUCUUUAAGUCGUCUCCGGUUUCUCCAGACCGUAGGCUCGUCUCCCUGAGGCGCCAGUUUCAUCACCCAUCUCCCGUUUGCACGAACCUUCAGAACAGAAUCCCUGCAUCCAAGCUGGGCAUUCACCCUCCCAAAGGUCUUCGCUGCCUUCUUUCCCGCAGAGUUUGUGCACAAGGUCUCUGGCCCCAAAGAGAAGGCUCCCUCGCCUACUGUCAGAAGACGCCCUGCUCUCUCGCAACUCCUCUGCCUCUGUCAUUCGUGGCUUUACUGAUCUGCAGUGGCCGUACCCACCUGCUCCCCUCCAUGCGGCGUAUCCCUCAGCGUGCCUCCUCUCCGAGCCUCUCUUUAUCAGUCUCAUCCCACGGAGCUUGCUUUCUUUUGUAAGAACACCCUACAGAGGCGCCUGGGUGGCUCAGCUGGCUAAGUAUCUGACUUAACACGCUGGUCUGCAGAUCUAUCGUUCAUCUUCUUAAUCCGGAGAUGGCAAAUUUAGGCAAUGGGAUAUGUCUUGAGUGUGAGGGGGCGCUCGCGCGUGUGCGUGUAUGUGACUCUGCAGCUCUUCUAUGAAUAACUGAUGCCAUGGACCUGCCAUUGCCCAGCCCAAGGCUGCGAGCCCACAGGCCUGUGCUGAUAACCACGUUCGACUACUACCUAGCUUGGAUGGUUUACCUUGAUGACUCUUCGACUUCUUACCAUGUGCCACGUUGGACCCCCGAGCUUGGACCCUUCAAAAGACUGUGCCGUAUAGCUUCCCCUAAGUGCAAGACUCAUCUCAAAGUAGCCAUACCUGUUCGCUAAACUUUCCUUCUUGGAAACUGCUACACUACUCCUCUACAUUCCUUCUAUACCUCACUCGCUCCGAACUCCACCCCUCCUCCCAACCCAUUGCUUCGGCCACGCACUCACCCUCAAAAAGCAUCUUCUAGGAGGCCACUGCCAGAUUCCAAGAAGCCUUAGGAAUCAGAAAUGGUCCAGUUCAAAUCCAAGGGGCUGUUGUCCGUGUAGUUCAUUCCCCCAGACUAGCUCCUACAUAGGAGACCCAGAAGACUUCUUAACUGGAAGUCACAGUCAUCUGGUUCAAGUCCUUGCUUUCCAGACACGACUACACAACCUGGCACCAAGUUUGCCCUGAAGCCUUUCAGGAAAGGGUCUGGAACGUCUAAUGAUCCUGGUGGUCAGAAAAUUUUCUUCAACAAAAACUCCAUCCUGCUUGGCUCUAAGCCUGCUGCUAGCUUCAGGGAGCACCCAGAGUCCCAGAUAGUGUUGGAACUGGGAGGGAUCUGGGAAUUUAAUUUCUCAGGUAGUUUCCGUAUUAACCCUGUCUUUUUACCGAUGAGGAAAUUGAAGUCCGGAGCAUUUAAAGAACUUGCCUGAGUGGCAGAGUCAGAGUUAGAACUUGGGUCUCCUGCUACUUAGUCCAUUUCUUUGCCCAUGUCACCAUACUGAGAUGAACAAUGUGGCUUCAAGAACUUUUAAGAUGUUAAAAGGCGGCGUUGCACCCAAAACUAACGUAAUAAGAAAUUAUAUCUCAAUUAAAAAAAAAAAAAAAAGAUGCUAUAAGGGCGUGGUCCUCCCCCCAUCCUCUCGGUGUCCCAGAAGGAAACCCGAGCCCCCUGAGACUCCAUCACUGCUGAUAUCUAGCCCCUUUUCCUGUCUGUGGCCUUCCUAAGGGCAUGAGAUAAGAGGAAAAUACCCACCACUUCCCAAAUAGGACAUGAGGAGAAAAUUUUCCCCAAGCUUGGCACUCAUAGAAGAUAAAUAACGUUGACUCUCAAUGUGGUUCAUCGGCAGAAUUUUCCCCAGAGCCAACGGCCUGUGUCAGAGCUAUAUUUUCCACUCUGGCUACUGUGAUUUUGUUGCGGCACACUUGCUUUCUUUCCUUUUGAUAGUGCAGACGCUGACGCAGGUUUAGGCCUCUGGCAGGUGUCUGGGGGUUUACAAGCCCAUCUCGGGCCUCUGACACCUCAUCUCCUCGCCUCCCCCUCCCCCUUCCCUUCCCGACAUGGCCAGACCCGCUGGGGCAGCAGCAGUUGGAGGCGCAGGUAGGGAGCUGGGGUUUUGCCGCCCCCAGAAUCUCCUUAGCGUGUGCCUGGAGCCUGAAGGCAGAGCAGGCAGGACACCAGGCAAGAUCUUGGAGUUCAUAGGGGUUUUUCGUAGAACAAAUUCCAGCACAUUUAGGGUGACUUCAUCGAUGACCUUUGAUGUUGUUCUUCAUUCCUUCUUAUUAAGUUGUCUUCUCUUGUGCAGCGCGUGUGUGUGUGUGAGGCAUUUGUGGACAGUAGGCCUUUCCCGGGACUGCUCAGAUUUACUGUCUCAUCUGCUGAUCACCGUGUGAAGGAUGAACAAUGCUUGUCACGUCCACUAAUAAUCAGGUUCCAAUCACAAGCCCAGAGUGGCUUCUUUCACUUCCUCUUUGGGAAGGAGAUUGUUUCCAGGGAUGUGGCUGUAGGAACGGACAGAGAGGGCUAGUCAGCGAACACCAUCUGCUCAUACUUGGGGCAAGGCUGGGAAAAUUCCCAGGGGCCUUGCCGCUGGCUGAGUCCAGAGGGUCCCCAGGAUCUGAGUUUGGUUCUCUGCCUACUGUGCCCAGCCCCGUCUCUUCCUGUACCCCAGGCGCAGCCCUCCAGGGCCCUCUCAUCAGCUGUCUGGCUUCUAAAGCCUCAGUGUGGUUUCCUUCACCCACAGCUUUACCCUUACCAGGUGCUCUCUUCCCCACUCCCUGGAAAAACACCAUUUUCUCAAAGGUGACUGGUCAACUGAAUACUAAAAAGUAGGUCAUAACUGCAAUUUCCCUCUCCCACUCUCUCAAGAAAACUUCUAUAGUUUUCACUGGUUAUGUUGCAGACAGGGUGUCUAGGUACACUAGGGCAUUAAUGCCUCCCCUCCCCUGUGCGCGCGCGUGUGUGUGUGUGUGUGUGUGUGUGUGUGUGAGUGAGUACGCAUGCAUGCAUUUGAGGACAGGGUGGGGGCAGGCUCUGGGCCUUUCCCGAUUGAUUGGAUUUCUCGUCUCACUUGUCCUUCCCAAGCCGACAGAUGAAUAGUGCCUGUCAUGGGCAGAUGUUCACUUCUCUGGAAUUACCCCAUCCUAGUAAUAGUGUGACUUCAAGUGCUGGGUUUGAGAUAUCUUCUCCUUGUCCUAAGCUACUGGGAAGCCUAGGGAGGAGCAGAAGUGGUCCACCCUGGAAAUAACAUACAAGCAUACCAACUGCCUACCCACUCCCUGAAUAAAUGUGGCUGAGUAUUCCUGAGCUUGGGGACA